rnacentral:rRNA from 1 species
GAUGAACGCUGGCGGCGUGCCUAAUACAUGCAAGUCGAGCGAACGGACGAGAAGCUUGCUUUUCUGAUGUUAGCGGCGGACGGGUGAGUAACACGUGGAUAACCUACCUAUAAGACUGGGAUAACUUCGGGAAACCGGAGCUAAUACCGGAUAAUAUUUUGAACCGCAUGGUUCAAAAGUGAAAGACGGUCUUGCUGUCACUUAUAGAUGGAUCCGCGCUGCAUUAGCUAGUUGGUAAGGUAACGGCUUACCAAGGCAACGAUGCAUAGCCGACCUGAGAGGGUGAUCGGCCACCCUGGAACUGAGACACGGUCCAGACUCCUACGGGAGGCAGCAGUAGGGAAUCUUACGCAAUGGGCGAAAGCCUGACGGAGCAACGCCGCGUGAGUGAUGAAGGUCUUCGGAUCGUAAAACUCUGUUAUUAGGGAAGAACAUAUGUGUAAGUAACUGUGCACAUCUUGACGGUACCUAAUCAGAAAGCCACGGCUAACUACGUG